ensembl:snRNA U6 U6 spliceosomal RNA
AUACUCACUUUGGAAGCACAUACACAAAAACUGGAGCGUCACAGAGAAGAUCAGCAUGGUCCCUGCACAAUGAUGCCAUGCAAAUUCAUAGUGUUUCAUAUAUUU